rnacentral:rRNA from 1 species
AAUACCCCAUAGAUUAGGGAGGCUGGAAUGCCCCCUAGUUCAAAGGUCCGCCGCCUCAGGAUGGGUCUGCGGCCGAUUAGGUUGUUGUUGGGGUAACGGCCCAACAAGCCUUUGAUCGGUACGGGUUGUGGGAGCAAGAGCCCGGAGAUGGAUUCUGAGACACGAAUCCAGGCCCUACGGGGCGCAGCAGGCGCGAAAACUUUACAAUGCGAGAAAUCGUGAUAAGGGAACCCCGAGUGCCCGUAAAUUCGGGCUGUCCGCCAGUGCAAAAAACUGGUGAAGAAAGAGCCGGGCAAGACCGGUGCCAGCCGCCGCGGUAAUACCGGCGGCUCGAGUGGUGGCCACUAUUACUGGGCUUAAAGCGUCCGUAGCUUGGUUGUUAAGUCUCCUGGGAAAUCCAUCGGCUCAACCGAUGGGCGUUCAGGAGAUACUGGCAACCUAGGGACCGGGAGAGGUGAGAGGUACUCCAGGGGUAGGAGUGAAAUCCUGUAAUCCUUGGGGGACCACCUGUGGCGAAGGCGUCUCACUAGAACGGCUCCGACAGUGAGGGACGAAAGCUGGGGGAGCAAACCGGAUUAGAUACCCGGGUAGUCCCAGCUGUAAACGAUGCGCGUUAGGUGUAUCGGUGACCACGAGUCACCGAGGUGCCGAAGGGAAACCGUGAAACGUGCCGCCUGGGAAGUACGGUCGCAAGGCUGAAACUUAAAGGAAUUGGCGGGGGAGCA